rnacentral:lncRNA from 10 species
CGUGUGAAGGGAAACAGUUAACAUUUCUACACUGCAACUUUUUCACUUGAGACUCACAGCAUUCCUAUGAGAAAGGAUCUGCAGACGAAGGUCCAAAGGAAGAAGAUUUUGUUGAAGACUGAAAAGAGAAAUAUACUUGGUGGACAGAGAUAACUCCUUUCAGCACAGAGGUCAGGUUCCAUGUACCCACGUGGCUGGAUUCUGAACAAUGACCACUUCC